rnacentral:rRNA from 1 species
CGGGACGGGUGAGUAAUGUCUGGGAAACUGCCCGAUGGAGGGGGAUAACUACUGGAAACGGUAGCUAAUACCGCAUAACGUCGCAGGACCAAAGAGGGGGACCUUCGGGCCUCUUGCCAUCGGAUGUGCCCAGAUGGGAUUAGCUAGUAGGUGGGGUAACGGCUCACCUAGGCGACGAUCCCUAGCUGGUCUGAGAGGAUGAUCAGCCACACUGGGACUGAGACACGGCCCAG